UUCCUUCCUUCCUUUCCUUCCUUUCCUUCCUUCCUUCCUUCCUUCCUUCCUUCCUUCCUUCCUUCCUUCCUUCCUUCCUUCCUUCCUUCCUUCCUUUCUUUCUUUCUUUCUUUCUUUCUUUCUUUCUUUCUUUCUUUCUUUCUUUCUUUCUUUCUUUCUUUCUUUCUUUCUUUCUUUCUUUCUUUCUUUCUUUCUUUCUUUCUUUCUUUCUUUCUUUCUUUCUUUCUUUCUUUCUUUCUUUCUUUCUUUCUUUCUUUCUUUCUUUCUUCUUCCUUCCUUCCUUCCUUCCUUCCUUCCUUCCUUCCUUCCUUCCUUCCUUCCUUCCUUCCUUCCUUCCUUCCUUCCUUCCUACCUUCCUUCCUUCCUUCCUUCCUUCCUUUUUAAAAUUCGUAUCUUCUGCCUUAGAAUCAAUGCUUAAUACGGAGGCAAAGACAAAAGAGUGGUAAAGGCUAGGCAAUUGGAGUUAAAUAACUUGCUCAGGGUCAUAAAGUUCUGAAGUGUUUGAGACCAGACUUGAAUCCUGGACCUCCCAUCUUCAGCCUAGUUCUCUAAUCAUUAAGCCAGCUGGAUGCCCCAUAUGAUCAUUUUAAAAUUAUUAAACAAAGGAGUUUUUGCAAGAUGGUUGUUGUUCAGUCAUUUCAGUUGCGUCUAAUUCAUCAUGACUCUAUUAGGGAUUUUCUUGGCAAAGAUACUUGGAGUGGUUUGCCAUUUCCUUCUCCUACUCAUUUUAUAGCUAUGGAAAUGGAGGCAAAGAUGGUUAGGUGAAUUUCCUAGGGUCACACAGUAAUUGUCUCAGACCAAAUUUUAACUCAGGGAGAUAAGUCUUCCUGACUCCAGGCCUGCCACUCUAUCUACUGUGCCGCCCAACUGGAUAAUGUUGCCUGGUAGUAACUGCCAAAGAGACUGUACUUUUUAAAGCUCCUAUAUUUGGGUGAAAUGGUAAAAUCCAGACAACCUUCUCAAAAAUUAUGGGGAUAAAGGUUGUUGGAAUGACCUGCUCCCAGUCCAAAUGAUGGCCUAUUUUAACUUAUCCUUGGUGAGUUAUACUGUAUAGUUGAAUUCUUAUGCUACAAUUCAAACCUAAUCUUUUCUUUCUGAUUCCACUCUUCUAGCCAAGUAGUUCAUUUCCCUCUAAGGGCUUUAAAGGCCAAAUUUUUAUUCUUGUCAAAACUACCUGUGGAAAUGGAUAAAAUAGAUUUGACUAUGGAUCGUCUCUCAAGCAAGGCCUUCUGGGAAUGGGCCUGUUCCAUUUCCCAUUUCAACGGUCAAGGCAAUUGGAAUCAGUCAGAAUGCACAUCCUUGCAUUCUAUUCCCCUGGAAAGAGAAAAAAAAUUGCCCCAGGUGGGAAGAGAAAAGGAAAGCAAAGGAUAAAGAGGAUAUUAAAAAUUCAGAAGAAUGCUGAAGUACUGUAACUGGUGGUAUGUAGUAGAAAAGGCACUGGACUAGCAGUCAGAAGCCCCAGGUCGGCGAUCCAACUCUGCUAUUUGCAUGCCCCCAAAAUCUCUCCUACUCUGUGGGUAGUUUCUGCUCCAAUCAUGGAUUGAAUUAUACCAGCGAUACACUUGAGUGAUUUUAAAUCUGAACUGAAAUGUAAACACAUGCAGACCUCUUUUCCAUGGUGUGGAAUCCUAUGGUAGGCAAAUUGUUUAACUUCCACAUACCCUGUCUGGCCCUAAUUGAUUCUUCUAACCCAACUGUGCAUUUUAACAUGUUCCAAGUUAGAGAAAUCUACCAGCACUAAUUCGACACGGCAACUGCUUAUGGGCCUUUUAAUGUGCAAAAGGGGAUCAAUCUAAUUUCUCAAGUUAGCUAGGGAAUAAGUUAAGUGUAACCUGAUUGAUAUUGGGGGAGAGAAGGCGAGAGAUGAAGUAGGAAUAGGCACAUAUAACCAUUAGGGCUGGAAAGGGCUGGUUUGGAUUCUGUAAGAAUCUAGUCCCAUUGGAGACUCUCUGUCCUGCCCCCCCCCCCAAAAAAAAAGGCAUC